AUGGCCGAUGUGGGUCAACGCGUAGUUUAUGUUUUUAUGAGCUUAAUGACUGAUACGUACGUGCUCUAUUUGGACCCAAGAUAUUAAACUUAUUUUUCAAGUUGGCGGAGUGCUUGAAGCCUGCAUGCUUAACCUCCUCCGCGGGUUGGGCCGGUAUCACACUAUCUUUGGGAUCGGCCCACAGUUU